rnacentral:rRNA from 1 species
UACCAGCACCCCGAGUGGUCGGGACGAUUAUUGGGCCUAAAGCAUCCGUAGCCGGUUCUACAAGUCUUCCGUUAAAUCCACCUGCUUAACAGAUGGGCUGCGGAGGAUACUAUGGAGCUAGGAGGCGGGAGAGGCAAGCGGUACUUAGUGGGUAGGGGUAAAAUCCGUUGAUCCAUUGAAGACCACCAGUGGCGAAGGCGGCUUGCCAGAACGCACUCGACGGGCGAGGGACUGGAAAGCUGGGGGAGCAAACCGGG